GGUGGGGUUCCCGAGCGGUCAAAGGGAGCAGACUGUAAAUCUGCCGUCAUCGACUUCGAAGGUUCGAAUCCUUCCCCCACCACCA
rnacentral:tRNA from 16 species